AUGGUGGAGACUUUGGCUUUUACUCUGAAAAAGAAGCUCUUAAAGGUUGGGAGAGUGAGUGGCAGAACCCAGGUGGAGCAGAGUCCAUGGCUCCAGAAAGUUCUGGAGGGAGAGAACUGCACUAUUCAGUGCAAUUAUACUGUGAGCCCUUUUAACAACUUAAGGUGGUACAAACAGGACACAGAGAAAGGCCCUGUUUCCCUGAUAAGAAUGAAUUAUACAGAGAGUAAAAAGUCAAAUGGAAGGUACGCAGCAACUUUGGAUUCAGAGUCCAAGCACAGCUACCUGCACAUCACAGCCUCCCAGCUCAGCGACACUGCUUCUUACAUCUGUGUGGUGGGCACACCAUGCUCCCCAGACACCUGCAACCAGUACCCAAACCUGCCCUUGGAGGCUGUCAAGGAGGCUUAG